rnacentral:rRNA from 1 species
CGAUCGGUAGCCGGACUGAGAGGUUGAACGGCCACAUUGGGACUGAGACACGGCCCAGACUCCUACGGGAGGCAGCAGUGGGGAAUAUUGCACAAUGGGGGAAACCCUGAUGCAGCGACGCCGCGUGGAGGAAGAAGGUCUUCGGAUUGUAAACUCCUGUUGUUGAGGAAGAUAAUGACGGUACUCAACAAGGAAGUGACGGCUAACUACGUGCCAGCAGCCGCGGUAAAACGUAGGUCACAAGCGUUGUCCGGAAUUACUGGGUGUAAAGGGAGCGCAGGCGGGAGAACAAGUUGGAAGUGAAAUCCAUGGGCUCAACCCAUGAACUGCUUUCAAAACUGUUUUUCUUGAGUAGUGCAGAGGUAGGCGGAAUUCCCGGUGUAGCGGUGGAAUGCGUAGAUAUCGGGAGGAACACCAGUGGCGAAGGCGGCCUACUGGGCACCAACUGACGCUGAGGCUCGAAAGUGUGGGUAGCAAACAGGAUUAGAUACCCUGGUAGUCCACACCGUAAACGAUGAUUACUAGGUGUUGGAGGAUUGACCCCUUCAGUGCCGCAGUUAACACAAUAAGUAAUCCACCUGGGGAGUACGACCGCAAGGUUGAAACUCAAAGGAAUUGACGGGGGCCCGCACAAGCAGUGGAGUAUGUGGUUUAAUUCGACGCAACGCGAAGAACCUUACCAAGUCUUGACAUCCCUUGACGAACAUAGAAAUAUGUUUUCUCUUCGGAGCAAGGAGACAGGUGGUGCAUGGUUGUCGUCAGCUCGUGUCGUGAGAUGUUGGGUUAAGUCCCGCAACGAGCGCAACCCUUAU